UACGUAGGGUGCAAGCGUUGUCCGGAAUUAUUGGGCGUAAAGAGCUCGUAGGCGGUUCGUCGCGUCGGCUGUGAAAACCUGAGGCUCAACCUCAGGCCUGCAGUCGAUACGGGCGGACUUGAGUACUGCAGGGGAGACUGGAAUUCCUGGUGUAGCGGUGAAAUGCGCAGAUAUCAGGAAGAACACCCGUGGCGAAGGCGGCUCUCUGGGACGGUACUGACGCUGAGACGCGAAAGCGUGGGGAGCGAACAGG
rnacentral:rRNA from 1 species